CCCCCCGCCCGGCCCGGCCCGGCCCUGCCCGGCCCUACCCCACCCGGCCCUUCCCUUCCCUUCCCUUCCCGGCCCGGCCCCCAGGGGCCGGCUGCGUGCGGGCGGCGGGAGGCGAAGCGCGGCCGCUGCUCGCCGUGGGGCCGGUGCUUGCGAAAUGUCCUCGUAUCUAGAAAACCACGAUGAGGUUCCUGCGCUCAUUUAUGAGAAUAAAAACUGGCAAAAUACAUUUAGGAAGAAAAAUGGCAAUUUCUGUAUCUAAUGGCUCCAUUAUGGAGGGCUCAGCGUGCACCAUGCGGAGUGCUAUCCGCACCGUGCUGGAAUAUUGAGCCUGUAAAAUCUUUACCCAUUUAGCCCGUUUGAUGGUCCAAAUGGUCUACUUUUUCAAGCGGUUUUAAGUAAUGCCUCACUGAUUGAAUUAUAAUUUUCCUGACUGUAAUUGCCAAGAAUGUCCUUGGCAAAACAUACAUACAAUGUGUUUCAUCCAAUUUUGAAAUAUAUUUUGUAAUCAGAAUAAUAAAAGUUAAUAUUCAUCAGUUCCUCCCA